rnacentral:ncRNA from 1 species
UGUUUAAAAUUAUCUUUGACUGAAUUUAUGAUUGACUAACUUCAGGACAGCUUGUAAACUAAUAAUAUUGUGGAAAAGUUUGAUUAUGAAUAGGAAGCCAAGAUAAAAAACUGCAGUGUUCAAAGCAGGCCCGAGCUGCCUGGAUAACACAGCUAGGAAUAAUGAAAUAAGACUCCUGUUCUGUUUUGUUGGUUUUCAGAAGUGAGGCCAUGAUUCAGAGGGAUGGCCAAGGGCACUCAUCUUGAGUCGCUGGAGGCUAAAUUCUUGGACUGACACAAGACAGACCAAAAUGAAAGCAAUGGCCAAGAAUGUUUUCAUUAAUCAAGAAGAAAAGUCAGAUAUUCAAAUAUGAUGGUUUUCCAACCAGAAACAGUGCAGACUGACGGUGCAGCAGUGUUACUCCCAUAAGCCUCCAGGUAACUUCUGGGAAACCAAAGUCUUUGGGUUUCA